rnacentral:rRNA from 1 species
GGUUAAGUGACUAAGCGUACACGGUGGAUGCCUUGGCAGUCAGAGGCGAUGAAAGACGUAGUAACUUGCGAUAAGCCCAGAUUAGGUAGUAACAACCAUUUGAGUCUGGGAUUUCUGAAUGGGGAAACCCACGUGCAUAAGCACGUAUCCUUACCUGAAUACAUAGGGUAAGGAGGCGAACCGGGGGAACUGAAACAUCUAAGUACCCCGAGGAAAAGAAAUCAACCGAGAUUCCGAAAGUAGCGGCGAGCGAAAUUGGACUAGCCCUUAAGCUUUACACGCGUUAGACGAACGGUCUGGAAAGUCCGACGAUACAGGGUGAUAGUCCCGUAGUUGACGACGUGUGUUCAGUGAAAUCGAGUAGGGCGGGACACGUGAUAUCCUGUCUGAAUAUGGGGGGACCAUCCUCCAAGGCUAAAUACUACUGACUGACCGAUAGUGAACCAGUACCGUGAGGGAAAGGCGAAAAGAACCCCUGUGAGGGGAGUGAAAUAGAACCUGAAACCGUGUACGUACAAGCAGUAGGAGCAGGCUUUGUCCUGUGACUGCGUACCUUUUGUAUAAUGGGUCAGCGACUUAUAUUCAGUGGCAAGGUUAACCAUCUAGGGGAGCCGUAGGGAAACCGAGUCUUAACUGGGCGUUCAGUCUCUGGAUAUAGACCCGAAACCAGGUGAUCUAGCCAUGGGCAGGUUGAAGGUUGAGUAACAUCAACUGGAGGACCGAACCGACUAAUGUUGAAAAAUUAGCGGAUGACUUGUGGCUAGGGGUGAAAGGCCAAUCAAACCUGGAGAUAGCUGGUUCUCCCCGAAAGCUAUUUAGGUAGCGCCUCGGACGAAUACUACUGGGGGUAGAGCACUGUUAAGGCUAGGGGGUCAUCCCGACUUACCAACCCUUUGCAAACUCCGAAUACCAGUAAGUACUAUCCGGGAGACACACGGCGGGUGCUAACGUCCGUCGUGGAGAGGGAAACAACCCAGACCGCCAGCUAAGGUCCCAAAUUACUACUAAGUGGGAAACGAUGUGGGAAGGCUCAGACAGCCAGGAUGUUGGCUUAGAAGCAGCCAUCAUUUAAAGAAAGCGUAAUAGCUCACUGGUCGAGUCGGCCUGCGCGGAAGAUGUAACGGGGCUAAGUAGUAAACCGAAGCUGCGGCAAUGUGCUUUUGCACAUUGGGUAGGGGAGCGUUCUGUAAGCGGUUGAAGGUGUGUGGUAACGCAUGCUGGACGUAUCAGAAGUGCGAAUGCUGACAUGAGUAACGAUAAAGGGGGUGAAAAACCUCCUCGCCGGAAGACCAAGGGUUCCUGUCCAACGUUAAUCGGGGCAGGGUAAGUCGACCCCUAAGGCGAGGCCGAAAGGCGUAGUCGAUGGGAAACGGGUUAAUAUUCCCGUACUUCUUACAAUUGCGAUGGGGGGACGGAGAAGGCUAGGUGGGCCUGGCGACGGUUGUCCAGGUUCAAGUGCGUAGGCUUAAGAGUUAGGUAAAUCCGGCUCUUUUUAAGGCUGAGACACGACGUCGAGCACCUACGGGUGUGAAGUCAUUGAUGCCAUGCUUCCAGGAAAAGCCUCUAAGCUUCAGAUUGUAAGGAAUCGUACCCCAAACCGACACAGGUGGUCGGGUAGAGAAUACCAAGGCGCUUGAGAGAACUCGGGUGAAGGAACUAGGCAAAAUGGUACCGUAACUUCGGGAGAAGGUACGCUCUUGAUGGUGAAGUCCCUUGCGGAUGGAGCUGACGAGAGUCGCAGAUACCAGGUGGCUGCAACUGUUUAUUAAAAACACAGCACUGUGCAAAAUCGUAAGAUGACGUAUACGGUGUGACGCCUGCCCGGUGCCGGAAGGUUAAUUGAUGGGGUUAGACUUCGGUCGAAGCUCUUGAUCGAAGCCCCGGUAAACGGCGGCCGUAACUAUAACGGUCCUAAGGUAGCGAAAUUCCUUGUCGGGUAAGUUCCGACCUGCACGAAUGGCGUAAUGAUGGCCACGCUGUCUCCACCCGAGACUCAGUGAAAUUGAAAUCGCUGUGAAGAUGCAGUGUACCCGCGGCUAGACGGAAAGACCCCGUGAACCUUUACUACAGCUUGGCACUGAACAUUGACCCUACAUGUGUAGGAUAGGUGGGAGGCUUUGAAGCACGUACGCCAGUAUGUGUGGAGCCGUCCUUGAAAUACCACCCUUGUAGUGUUGAUGUUCUAACGUCGACCCCUUAUCGGGGUUGCGGACAGUGCCUGGUGGGUAGUUUGACUGGGGCGGUCUCCUCCCAAAGAGUAACGGAGGAGCACGAAGGUGGGCUAAUCACGGUUGGACAUCGUGAGGUUAGUGCAAUGGCAUAAGCCCGCUUGACUGCGAGAAUGACAAUUCGAGCAGGUGCGAAAGCAGGUCAUAGUGAUCCGGUGGUUCUGAAUGGAAGGGCCAUCGCUCAACGGAUAAAAGGUACUCCGGGGAUAACAGGCUGAUACCGCCCAAGAGUUCAUAUCGACGGCGGUGUUUGGCACCUCGAUGUCGGCUCAUCACAUCCUGGGGCUGAAGUCGGUCCCAAGGGUAUGGCUGUUCGCCAUUUAAAGUGGUACGCGAGCUGGGUUUAGAACGUCGUGAGACAGUUCGGUCCCUAUCUGCCGUGGGCGUUGGAAGAUUGAAGGGGGCUGCUCCUAGUACGAGAGGACCGGAGUGGACGAACCUCUGGUGUUCGGGUUGUGUCGCCAGACGCAUUGCCCGGUAGCUAAGUUCGGAAUCGAUAACCGCUGAAAGCAUCUAAGCGGGAAGCGAGCCCUGAGAUGAGUCUUCCCUGAUACUUUAAGUAUCCUAAAGGGUUGUCGGAGACUACGACGUUGAUAGGUCAGGUGUGUAAGUGCUGUGAGGCAUUGAGCUAACUGAUACUAAUUGCCCGUGAGGCUUAACCAU